UCAUCUUCGGGGGUAGAGCACUGUUUCGGCUAGGGGGUCAUCCCGACUUACCAACCCGAUGCAAACUACGAAUACCGAAGAAUGUUAUCACGGGAGACACACGGCGGGUGCUAACGUCCGUCGUGAAGAGGGAAACAACCCAGACCGCCAGCUAAGGUCCCAAAGUCAUGGUUAAGUGGGAAACGAUGUGGGAAGGCACAGACAGCCAGGAUGUUGGCUUAGAAGCAGCCAUCAUUUAAAGAAAGCGUAAUAGCUCACUGGUCGAGUCGGCCUGCGCGGAAGAUGUAACGGGGCUAAACCAUGCACCGAAGCUGCGGCAGCGACACUAUGUGUUGUUGGGUAGGGGAGCGUUCUGUAAGCCUGCGAAGGUGGCCUGUGAGGGUUGCUGGAGGUAUCAGAAGUGCGAAUGCUGACAUAAGUAACGAUAAAGCGGGUGAAAAGCCCGCUCGCCGGAAGACCAAGGGUUCCUGUCCAACGUUAAUCGGGGCAGGGUGAGUCGACCCCUAAGGCGAGGCCGAAAGGCGUAGUCGAUGGGAAACAGGUUAAUAUUCCUGUACUUGGUGUUACUGCGAAGGGGGGACGGAGAAGGCUAUGUUAGCCGGGCGACGGUUGUCCCGGUUUAAGCAUGUAGGCUGGUUAUCCAGGCAAAUCCGGAUAAUCAAGGCUGAGGUGUGAUGACGAGGCACUACGGUGCUGAAGUAACAAAUGCCCUGCUUCCAGGAAAAGCCUCUAAGCAUCAGGUAACAUCAAAUCGUACCCCAAACCGACACAGGUGGUCAGGUAGAGAAUACCAAGGCGCUUGAGAGAACUCGGGUGAAGGAACUAGGCAAAAUGGUGCCGUAACUUCGGGAGAAGGCACGCUGGUGUGUAGGUGAAGUCCCUGCGGAUGGAGCUGAGACCAGUCGAAGAUACCAGCUGGCUGCAACUGUUUAUUAAAAACACAGCACUGUGCAAACACGAAAGUGGACGUAUACGGUGUGACGCCUGCCCGGUGCCGGAAGGUUAAUUGAUGGGGUUAUCCGUAAGGAGAAGCUCUUGAUCGAAGCCCCGGUAAACGGCGGCCGUAACUAUAACGGUCCUAAGGUAGCGAAAUUCCUUGUCGGGUAAGUUCCGACCUGCACGAAUGGCGUAAUGAUGGCCAGGCUGUCUCCACCCGAGACUCAGUGAAAUUGAACUCGCUGUGAAGAUGCAGUGUACCCGCGGCAAGACGGAAAGACCCCGUGAACCUUUACUAUAGCUUGACACUGAACAUUGAGCCUUGAUGUGUAGGAUAGGUGGGAGGCUUUGAAGCGUGGACGCCAGUCUGCGUGGAGCCAACCUUGAAAUACCACCCUUUAAUGUUUGAUGUUCUAACGUUGGCCCCUUANCGGGGUUGCGGACAGUGUCUGGUGGGUAGUUUGACUGGGGCGGUCUCCUCCCAAAGCGUAACGGAGGAGCACGAAGGUUAGCUAAUCCUGGUCGGACAUCAGGAGGUUAGUGCAAUGGCAUAAGCUAGCUUGACUGCGAGCGUGACGGCGCGAGCAGGUGCGAAAGCAGGUCAUAGUGAUCCGGUGGUUCUGAAUGGAAGGGCCAUCGCUCAACGGAUAAAAGGUACUCCGGGGAUAACAGGCUGAUACCGCCCAAGAGUUCAUAUCGACGGCGGUGUUUGGCACCUCGAUGUCGGCUCAUCACAUCCUGGGGCUGAAGUAGGUCCCAAGGGUAUGGCUGUUCGCCAUUUAAAGUGGUACGCGAGCUGGGUUUAGAACGUCGUGAGACAGUUCGGUCCCUAUCUGCCGUGGGCGCUGGAGAAUUGAGGGGGGCUGCUCCUAGUACGAGAGGACCGGAGUGGACGCAUCACUGGUGUUCGGGUUGUCAUGCCAAUGGCACUGCCCGGUAGCUAAAUGCGGAAGAGAUAAGUGCUGAAAGCAUCUAAGCACGAAACUUGCCCCGAGAUGAGUUCUCCCUGAGACUUUAAGUCUCCUGAAGGAACGUU
rnacentral:rRNA from 1 species